rnacentral:tRNA from 1 species
ACCCUGAGGGACAGCUCAGUUGGUACAGCGUGAGACUCUAAUCUCAGCGUUGUGGGUUUGAGCCCCACGUUGGGCG